GUGUGCUCUAAUAAUCUUUAAAAAAAUUCAACCCAAAUAAUUGAAUCCCACCGUAUAUCUAAAUCUCCCCCUAAUUUCUAAAAAGCUGAAUAUUAGGGUUUUCAUAAAAUCUGCCAACACUGAGAGGCGAGAUUGAUUUCUCUGGUAAGUUCUUCUUUGUGAAAUUGAUUAUGAGAUAACUGCUACAAGGAAUAAGGCUACAUGGAAAUGACCUCUUCUCGGUGAAAUUGGUACUGUCAUUUUUGGCGAAUUUCAGCUAAAAUGGGUUAACUCUGCUAGUUGAAGUGAGGUUUCUUCGCCUGCAGUUUACAUAGCAGAAAGUGUUAUAAGCUCUAGAAUAGAAGGUACCUGACCCGAUGCAGCAGAGAACACCGUAGCUAUUGCAGCUGGGUAAGCUUAAUCUCUGGUGCAGCUAGUUCAUCGAUUCUCCUUCAAGUUGGGAAGAACUCGCCUUCUCCGAUACAAAUAGUGGAGUACUCGGGACCAUCACUUAGCUACUAUAUCAACAAGCUUAAGCCCAUGAAAGUAGUCCAAACUUCAGUAACCGAGACACCAACUGCACCAGAAGUUUAUGGUUUACAAGCUUUAGUUGCAGCACCAGAAAUAGAGGCAUUGAAUGCACCAAAAAUUGAAGCAAUAAAUGCAACAGAAGUUGAAUUCUCUAAGCCAGAAGCUCCAGCUCCCCAAGUUGAGGUGUAUAAUGACCUACUACUAUUGAUGUGGUUUGUUCCUGUGACUUGUAUGCAAACUUUAAGCUGAUUCUUCUUUUCUCAGUUGCUGGUUAGUGUAGGAGGAGACGAUGGUAUUUUGCGUGAGGUAUCUUAUCAUUAUUUUGUCGAACAUGUUGAUAUAUGUAAGAUUGACAAGAUGGCAAUCGAGGUAAGCAUACUCUUAAAUGCUAAUGUUUGUUCAUAAAAAUGUAUAUUUUGGUCACCAUUGACAUUUUUCAUCUCCUCUAAGGGUAGAGGAACGUUAUUGAUUCUUCUAUUUACAUGUAUUAGUAGUUUCUUAUGUCAUAGUUUAUCUUAUCAGGAAGUGCUACUUUUCAGGUCCAUCCCAAGAGUUGUGUGUAAAGUCUUUCUUUGAAACUAUAGCAAAGGCUCUUCGUCCAGGUUGCAGGCUGAGGGCAUAUGGAUUUACAUGCACAUAAUUAGAGAAUUGUUGCUCAUUUCUUUCAUAUCUUCAAUGGCUCAGUUAACUAUGCAUGGACUACUGCUCCGACUUAUCCAAGGUAACAUGGCAACUCUAUUGCUUAUCUUUAACCAAGAGUGUUUCGAAUCCUUGUUCUUGCUUGUUUUCAUUUUUUUUAAUUGAAUGGUGUUGUGUGAAAAAAAAAUAGUUUACAGUAAAUAAAAGGGUUUGAGCAAAGUGAUUAUCUUGAUUAAUUUUAGUUUGAGUUUCUCUUUUGUUGCCAUUUCUGUUCUAUAUGUGCAUGUACUUGUUAUGGUAGUAUUUUCUGUUUUAAAGGUUUCAAUAAGCUCUCACAAUAAAUUACAGGAAGUACUAUUUGUGAUCAAUAAUUAGAGAAAAAUAUGAAGGUCUGAGUAUAUCUUAUUCUAACUUAGGUCUUUACUUAUAUUUA